ACAGAGAGACAGAGAGCGAGCGAGCGAGGAGAGAGCCGGCCAGCCGAGCGUGGAGGACAAGAGAAGGCGGCCAACCGUGGGGCAAACUCCGGUUCCCGCGGAGGGCGGGCCCGGCCCCGGCUUCCCCGGUCCACCGAGGGCGAAGGCCUCUGCCCCCCCGGGGCGGGGGUCCCCGGGCCCGGCCCGCAGACCCAUGUCCCGCUCUACCGGCGCCACGCUGCCCAAUGAAUCUGAGCGAAAUCCCGAAGGAAAAUAAAUAAUUUCGUCCAUGGAGGGGAGAGGACGACAGGAGAAAAGGAACUCCGGAAAAAGAUUUUCCCAGGAUGGCGGGCUCGCGGAAUAUCGGGAUUCCGGUGACCGCAUUCAACGCUGGCUGAUCCAGAUGGGAGACCAGGCCCGCCGGCCCUGGAGGGAGAAUCCGGCGGGAUCCCGGAGGCGGCGGCAAAUGGCCCGGAGUCGGAGCGAAGGCGCGAUG